rnacentral:rRNA from 1 species
UACGAAGGGGGCUAGCGUUGCUCGGAAUUACUGGGCGUAAAGAGCUCGUAGGCGGCUUGUCACGUCGGGUGUGAAAGCCCGGGGCUUAACCCCGGGUCUGCAUUCGAUACGGGCAGGCUAGAGUGUGGUAGGGGAGAUCGGAAUUCCUGGUGUAGCGGUGAAAUGCGCAGAUAUCAGGAGGAACACCGGUGGCGAAGGCGGAUCUCUGGGCCAUUACUGACGCUGAGGAGCGAAAGCGUGGGGAGCGAACAGG